rnacentral:rRNA from 1 species
GACGAACGCUGGCGGCGUGCUUAACACAUGCAAGUCGAGCGGUAAGGCCCUUUCGGGGGUACACGAGCGGCGAACGGGUGAGUAACACGUGGGUGACCUGCCCUCAGCUCUGGGAUAAGCCUGGGAAACUGGGUCUAAUACCGGACAUGACUCCAUGACGCAUGUUGUGGGGUGGAAAGCCUUGUGCGGCUGAGGAUGGGCCCGCGGCCUAUCAGCUUGUUGGUGGGGNGAUGGCCUACCAAGGCGACGACGGGUAGCCGGCCUGAGAGGGCGACCGGCCACACUGGGACUGAGACACGGCCCAGACUCCUACGGGAGGCAGCAGUGGGGAAUCUUGCGCAAUGGGCGAAAGCCUGACGCAGCGACGCCGCGUGAGGGAUGACGGCCUGG